rnacentral:rRNA from 1 species
GUUGAACGCUAGCUACAGGCUUAACACUUGCAAUUCGAGGGGUAACAAGAGGAACGCUUGCAUUACUUGUUGACGAGCGGCGCAUGGGUGCGUAACGCCUAUGUAACCUGCCUAAAACUAGCGAAUAACCUUGCGAAAGCAAGACUAAUACCCUAUGAUUUCCUUUGAUGUCAUCAGAUUAGGAAUAACGAAUUAGUGGAUAUAGAUAGGGAUGAGUCUGAUUAUCUUGGUGGAGGAGUAACGGCCCACCAAGGCAACGAUCAGUAGGGGUGAGGAGAAGAAGGUCCCCCACAUUGGAACUGAGACACGGUCCAAACUCCUACGGGAGGGAGGAGUGAGGAAUAUUGGGCAAUGGGCGGAAGCCUGAACCAGCCAAGUAGCGUGCAGGAUGACGGCCCUAUGGGUUGUAAACUGCUUUUAUACAGGAAUAAAGUUAGCCACGUGUGGUUAUUUGUAGGUACUGUAUGAAUAAGGACCGGCUAAUUCCGUGCCAGCAGCCGCCGUAA